GGGGAAUAUUGGACAAUGGGCGCAAGCCUGAUCCAGCCAUGCCGCGUGAGUGAUGAAGGCCCUAGGGUUGUAAAGCUCUUUCAACGGUGAAGAUAAUGACGGUAACCGUAGAAGAAGCCCCGGCUAACUUCGUGCCAGCAGCCGCGGUAAUACGAAGGGGGCUAGCGUUGUUCGGGAUUACUGGGCGUAAAGCGCACGUAGGCGGAUUGAUCAGUUAGGGGUGAAAUCCCAGGGCUCAACCCUGGAACUGCCUUUAAUACUGCCGGUCUAGAGUUCGAGAGAGGUGAGUGGAAUUCCGAGUGUAGAGGUGAAAUUCGUAGAUAUUCGGAGGAACACCAGUGGCGAAGGCGGCUCACUGGCUCGAUACUGACGCUGAGGUGCGAAAGCGUGGGGAGCAAAC
rnacentral:rRNA from 1 species